GAAAGUUACAGCUUUGCCCUCAAUGUUUGCAAUGACUGUGGACUCUUAUUCAGGCCUGACAGGGCACAACUUAUUUGUCAGGGCUGACAGUCCAUUUUUUCCUCAGUCAAAAUGUGGAACUGAGAAGGAAAUGUUGACCGUCAUCUCAGGCAUGUGUUAGAUGACACCGUCUCACCAGGACAGGUGUGAUAAAGAAUUCGAGGAACGCUGCUUCCAGGUCGCAUCCUGUGGAAGGGGGCUGCUGAAACGUCUGAGUCCAUCCCCACCUCCUCAUCUACCUUGUUCACCAGAACUGGUGCUGUGCGACCUUUGGCUGUUCUCUCAAGUAAAAGGGAUCACAAAAGGUAAAUGUUUUGAAUCUAUUUAGGGCAUUAGGGCAGCCACAAUAGCACAACUAAAGACA
rnacentral:lncRNA from 1 species